rnacentral:lncRNA from 10 species
UUGGAGUGCAGCGGCGCCAUCUCAGCUCACUGCAACUUCUGCCUCCCAGAUUCAAGCGAUUCUCCUGCCUCAGCCUCCUGAGUAGCUGGGACUACAGGUUGCAUGUCCCUACCUGUGAGACAAUUUCUAAGCUGCGUAUUCCUUACUUGAUUACUGAGUGCAUGGAGAAUGCAAUUUACCCUCAUGCCAGUCCAAGGAAAGAAGAAAAGAUUGGGUUCAUGAACGCACACAAAUACAGUUUGCUGAUGCCAAAUAUGAAUGGUUUCAGAUUGUGCACAGUUUUAUACUAGCCAUUCUUUCUUUCUAUUCUCUCCUGUCUCCCAUUAACAGGGACAACCUUACAAUAGGUCAAAAAUAGGAAAUGGUGGUAGGAUGCCAUUAUUACCUUCAAUUGUUCCAUUUCCACACCUGUGAAAGAGUAUCACCUGUACUAUAUAUUUAAUGAUUUAAUUUUGGCAGUACACAUAUGUAUCUAUUUCCAAUUCCAAGAUAAAUAUAUAUUCAAUGAUUACAUAAUGCAACAUGCACUUAAGGGAAGUUGUUGCUCUUAGCAAUAACCUAGAGUUUUGCUUUUAUCUAUGUAUCAAUUAGCUUUUGCUAUGUAACAAGUAAUCCCACAAUAUGAUGGUUAAAAGUAGCAACCAGUUAUUUCAUUCUUAAUUCUGUAGUUUGGCAAUUGGGCUGGGAUUCCUGGGCAGUUCUGGUCUGAGCUGGCUUGGCUGAUCUUGACUGAAUUCACUUAAGUAUCUAUGAUCAGCUAAUAAGUUGACUGGGGCUUUGUGGUUUGACAGCUCAGCGGAGACAGCUGGAAAAACUAGGUCACUCUCCACAGGAUCUCUCUUCCUCCACAGUCUAACCUCGUCUUCUUUAUAUAAUGGCAUUAGGAGUCUACAAGUGAGAAAGGAAGUAUGUAAAGCCUCUUGAAGCCCUGGUUCUGAACUUUUCACUGUUACUUCUGCUACAUUUUAUUGCCACAGGCAGGUCACAAGCCUCACCCAGAUUCAAGGGAUGAAUAAAUUGUCUCUUGAAAGGAGAGGCAGAGUUGCAUUGCAUAGGCUGUAGAUACAGGGAGGGAAGAAGAAUGGUGGCCAUUUUUGCAACACGUCACAAUCAGCUGGGGUGCUUUUGCCUUAAGUUACAGAAAAUAACUCCAAGUUGUUUAAAUGAUGAAAACACAUUAUGUAUCUCUUGAAAUACAUUUGGAGGAAAAGUGAUUCCAGGGUUACUUCAGCUGCUUAGCAAUGCCAUCAUGGCCCUAGGGUUUUUUUUUUUUAAAUUUCACUUUCCACUCUGUCAUAUCCAGCAUAUUGGUUUUUGUCCACAUUUUAACAAGAUGUCCAUGACAGUUUCAGGCUGUACUCACAGAUGAUAGAAUCCAGAGGAGAAGAAUGGAAUGGCUCUGUCUUGUGUCUUCUUUUACAAAUGAGGAACAUCUACUCAGAAGCCCUUGCAGUACUCCCACUGGGUCCCAUUACAUCACAUUCCUAUGCCUGAGCAUAGGAAUUCAUCUUCAUCUGGGCUUCCUCUUCAUGUUAGUGGCAGCCUGGCUACAGAAAAGCUCUGCUUGUUGACGUCAUACUACUAGCUAUUGAGGUGAGAAGGUGGGAAUUGGGUGGUGAGAAUUUUCCUCAAGAAAUAUAGCAGCUUAGGAAGGUUGAAAGUAGGGUAACUGGUUCUACUCAGAAUAGUAGAUUUGAGUUUAUCCUUCUGGAUGUUCCUACCAUUUGCAGUGAUUUCUUUAAUAACAAUAAUAACAACAAUAAUGGAUGGUAAACAUCUGUGCAAACAUAACACUAAUUCAUCUGGUAGGAGGUGAUGUGGAUCAAUGCAUUUCAAAUAAAUUAAAAC